AGGUUACGUUUCUGAAUUGACAAAACGGAGUGAAAAGGGCGUCAACCAGCUUCGAGAUUGAGGUUAUUUUGCAUCUGUAUUUGGAGAGGAAAGAUCCAAGAUGUCUGGCGGAGGAAGCGAUAUGACUCUUAGAAAGACUGUUGAUCAGCUGAGACGAGAAGCAAACAUUGAAAGAUGUAAAUUGUCACAAGUGGCUGCCGAACUUCUUAACUAUUGUGAGCAGAAUGUCGGUAAUGACUAUCUACUGACCGGCAUCCCCCUUCCUGGUGUGACGAACCCUUACAAGGAGAAGAAAAUUGGAUGCAGUAUCAUUUGAGGUCGUUACAGAUGCCCUUUUUUCUACACAUCGAUAUCCCACUCUAGAUGAAAAUCCUUGCAUCUUUUCUACACCUGUCCCGCUUUGCGACCCACAGUAUCGGAGAUGUACCUAGCGCCCGACCUAGCAUUUUUUUUUUCAACUCACGCUUCAUGCUGCUGCUUCAACCUUACAGUGUGCUUGUAUAUAUUUAUCACUUGUGACCGCCGAGCUGGCAAUCCAUAAUCAGUUGCAAAACAACGUUAAAAUGCCAAACUUGUUUAGACAGAUGUGGGUGAUUCCAUCAGGUUUCAUCCAAAAUGAUAUCUAGGGACAGUGAUUUUCCAUUUACCGGUAAAUAAAA